AACGAACGCUGGCGGCAGGCCUAACACAUGCAAGUCGAGCGGCAGCACGGGAGCUUGCUCCUGGUGGCGGGCGGCGGACGGGUGAGUAAUGCCUAGGAAUCUGCCUGUUAGUGGGGGAUAACUCGGGGAAACUCGAGCUAAUACCGCAUACGUCCUACGGGAGAAAGUGGGGGACCUUCGGGCCUCACGCUAACAGAUGAGCCUAGGUCGGAUUAGCUAGUUGGUGGGGUAAAGGCCUACCAAGGCGACGAUCCGUAGCUGGUCUGAGAGGAUGAUCAGCCACACUGGAACUGAGGCACGGUCCAGACUCCUACGGGAGGCAGCAGUGGGGAAUAUUGGACAAUGGGCGCAAGCCUGAUCCAGCCAUGCCGCGUGUGUGAAGAAGGUCUUCGGAUUGUAAAGCACUUUAAGUUGGGAGGAAGGGCUCUUGGCUAAUACCCGAGGGUUUUGACGUUACCAACAGAAUAAGCACCGGCUAACUUCGUG
rnacentral:rRNA from 1 species